UGGGGAAUAUUGGACAAUGGGCGCAAGCCUGGUCCAGCCAUGCCGCGUGGGUGAGGAAGGCCUUCGGGUUGUAAAACCCUUUCACCGGUGACGAUGAUGACGGUAGCCGGAGAAGAAGCCCCGGCUAACUCCGUGCCAGCAGCCGCGGUAAUACGGAGGGGGCGAGCGUUGUUCGGAAUUACUGGGCGUAAAGGGCGCGUAGGCGGCACAUCAAGUCAGAGGUGAAAGCCCCGGGCUCAACCUGGGAAUUGCCUUUGAAACUGAUGAGCUAGAGUCCGGAAGAGGAUAGCGGAAUUCCCAGUGUAGAGGUGAAAUUCGUAGAUAUUGGGAAGAACACCAGUGGCGAAGGCGGCUAUCUGGUCCGGUACUGACGCUGAGGCGCGAAAGCGUGGGGAGCAAACAGGAUUAGAUACCCCUGUAGUCC
rnacentral:rRNA from 1 species